rnacentral:rRNA from 1 species
GACGAACGCUGGCGGCGUGCUUAACACAUGCAAGUCGAACGGAAAGGCCCUGCUUGCAGGGUACUCGAGUGGCGAACGGGUGAGUAACACGUGGGUGAUCUGCCCUGCACUUCGGGAUAAGCCUGGGAAACUGGGUCUAAUACCGGAUAGGAGCCAUUUUUAGUGUGAUGGUUGGAAAGUUUUUUCGGUGUAGGAUGAGCUCGCGGCCUAUCAGCUUGUUGGUGGGGUAAUGGCCUACCAAGGCGGCGACGGGUAGCCGGCCUGCGAGGGUGGACGGCCACAUUGGGACUGAGGUACGGCCCAGACUCCUACGGGAGGCAGCAGUGGGGAAUAUUGCACAAUGGGCGCAAGCCUGAUGCAGCGACGCCGCGUGGGGGAUGACGGCCUUCGGGUUGUAAACUCCUUUCGCUAGGGACGAAGCUUUUUGUGACGGUACCUAGAUAAGAAGCACCGGCUAACUACGUG